rnacentral:ncRNA from 10 species
AUCGUUCAUCUAUUCAUAUAGACGGAAGUAGGCAGACGCUGAAGGAACGCACU